rnacentral:rRNA from 1 species
GAAAAAUUCCCUCGUCCGAGCCUUCCAAAACCCUGGUAGUGAGGGCCGUUUUCAGAGGGAGGAAUACUGGCGCAAGGUACCUUAUGGAACCCGGGAAGAAGGUAAGAAGGGUUACCUUUACGAGGGGGUAAGGAGAGUGAAAAUUCCUUGUAAUCCCUCUGAUGGGACCACCUAGUGGCGAAGGCAGUCUUACCAGAACGGGUUCGACAGGUGAGGAGACGAAAGCUGGGGGCACGAACCGGAUUAGAUACCCCGGGUAGUCCCAGCCGUAAACGAUGCUCGUUAGGUGUCAUGCANUGCGCUACGAGCNUCGACUGCAUAGUGGGUGCCGUAAGGGACAACCCGUGAACAGCGUAGNCCNNGCACAUGGGAAGUACCCGCUGCUUACAGCNCUAAUUAAGGUAGAGAGUGAAAUUCUUGUAAUCCCUCUGAUGGGACCACCGUAUGGCGAAGGCAUCUUACCAGAACGGGUUCGACAGUGAGGGACGAAAGCUGGGGGNACGAACCGGGAUUAGAUACCCCGGGUAGUCCCAGCCGUAAACGAUGCGUCGUUA